rnacentral:rRNA from 1 species
UGAAUACGAGACGCUAAGGCGUCGAAGUAGUGUAUGUCAUACUUCCAAGAAAAGCUUGCACUGUCAUAGAUAAAAAACGCCUGUACCAUAACCGACACAGGUGGGUAGGUAGAGUAUACUAAGGGGCGCGAGAUAACUCUCUCUAAGGAACUCGGCAAAAUAACUCCGUAACUUCGGGAGAAGGUGUGCCUUAUUCGUAAGGUUGCAAUAACAAGAUCCAAGCAACUGUUUAUCAAAAACACAGGUCUCCGCUAAGUCGUAAGACGAUGUAUGGGGGCUGACGCCUGCCCAGUGCCAGAAGGUUAAAGAAGUUGGUAGCAAUUGCGAAGCUGAUAACUGAAGCCCUGGUGAACGGCGGCCGUAACUAUAACGGUCCUAAGGUAGCGAAAUUCCUUGUCGGGUAAGUUCCGACCCGCACGAAAGGCGUAAUGAUUUGGAUACUGUCUCGGAGAGGGGCUCGGUGAAAUAGACUUGUCUGUGAAGAUGCGGACUACCUGCACCAGGACAGAAAGACCCUAUGAAGCUUUACUGUACUUGAAAUUGAAAUUGGACUUUAUUCGCGCAGUAUAGGUGGGAGGCGUUGAUUAUAAUCUUGUGGGAUUAUUGGAGCCAUCAGUGAGAUACCACUCUUGUAAUGUUAGAUUUCUAACUUUGAAUCAUUAUCUGGUCAAAGAACAGUUUCAGGCGGGCAGUUUGACUGGGGCGGUCGCCUCCUAAACGGUAACGGAGGCGUACAAAGGUUUCCUCUGAACGGUUAGAAAUCGUAUCUAGAGUGUAAAGGCAUAAGGAAGCUUGACUGUGAGACCUACAAGUCGAGCAGGGACGAAAGUCGGUCUUAGUGAUCUGACGGUACUGAGUGGAAAGGCCGUCACUCAACGGAUAAAAGUUACUCUAGGAUAACAGGCUGAUCUCCCCCAAGAGUUCACAUCGACGGGGAGGUUUGGCACCUCGAUGUCGGCUCAUCGCAUCCUGGGGCGGUAGUACGUCCCAAGGGUUGGGCUGUUCGCCCAUGAAAGCGGUACGCGAGCUGGGUUCAGAACGUCGUGAGACAGUUCGGUCCAUAUCCGGUGUAGGCGUUAGAAUAUUGAGAGGAGCCUUCUUUAGUACGAGAGGACCGAGAAGGACAUACCUCUGGUGUACCAGUUAUCGUGCCAACGGUAAACGCUGGGUAGCUAUGUAUGGAGUGGAUAACCGCUGAAAGCAUCUAAGUGGGAAGCCCACCUCAAGAUAAGUAUUCUCA